rnacentral:rRNA from 1 species
CCUACGUGAGGCAGCAGUGAGGAAUAUUGGGCAAUGGGCGCGAGCCUGAACCAGCCAAGUAGCGUGAAGGAUGACUGCCCUACGGGUUGUAAACUUCUUGUAUAAAGGAAUAAAGUGAGGCACGUGUGCCUUUUUUGAUGUACUUUAUGAAUAAGGACCGGCUAACUCCGUGACAGCAGCCGCGGUAAUACGGAGGAUACGAGCGUUAUCCGGAUUUAUCGGGUUGAAAGGGAGCGUCGAUGGGUUGUUAAGUCAGUUGUGAAAGUUUGCUGCUCAACGGUAAAAUUGCAAUUGAAACUGGCAGCCUUGAGUACAGUUGAGGUAGGCAGAAUUCGUGGUGUAGCGGUGAAAUGCUUAGAUAUCACGAAGAACUCCGAUUGCGAAGGCAGCCUACUAAACUGCCACUGACAUUGAUGCUCGAAAGUGUGGGUAUCAAACAGGAUUAGAUACCCUUGUAGUC